rnacentral:rRNA from 1 species
UGGGGAAUAUUGCACAAUGGGUGAAACCCUGAUGCAGCGACGCCGCGUGAACGAAGAAGGUAUUCGUAUCGUAAAGUUCUGUCCUAUGGGAAGAUAAUGACAGUACCAUAGAAGAAAGCUCCGGCUAAAUACGUGCCAGCAGCCGCGGUAAUACGUAUGGAGCGAGCGUUGUCCGGAAUUAUUGGGCGUAAAGGGUACGCAGGCGGUUUAAUAAGUCGAAUGUUAAAGAUCGGGGCUCAACCCCGUAAAGCAUUGGAAACUGAUAAACUUGAGUAGUGGAGAGGAAAGUGGAAUUCCUAGUGUAGUGGUGAAAUACGUAGAUAUUAGGAGGAAUACCAGUAGCGAAGGCGACUUUCUGGACACAAACUGACGCUGAGGUACGAAAGCGUGGGGAGCAAACAGG